UACGUAGGUGGCAAGCGUUGUCCGGAUUUACUGGGUGUAAAGGGCGUGUAGCCGGGUUGACAAGUCAGAUGUGAAAUCCUGCGGCUUAACCGCGGAACUGCAUUUGAAACUGUUGAUCUUGAGUACUGGAGAGGCAGACGGAAUUCCUAGUGUAGCGGUGAAAUGCGUGGAUAUUAGGAGGAACACCAGUGGCGAAGGCGGUCUGCUGGACAGCAACUGACGGUGAGGCGCGAAAGCGUGGGGAGCAAACAGG
rnacentral:rRNA from 1 species